rnacentral:lncRNA from 1 species
AUGCCAGGUAUCGCCCAGAAGGCUGCUAUUUUAGGUAAACAGAUGGACCCUAAAACUCUUGUUUGUAUGCAGAUCCAAUUUUCAAAGUGGAAAUUUGGGAGACAGGCAGUAAAAUUGCCAGUGUUUAGACUGCGAAAAACAGUGAAGUGCUAUUUACUGACUGAAGAUUCAAAAACAGUGCAUUUUGACUUAGAUGAAGAUGGUCAUCAUGAAAUAUCAACCAAAGAUUCACAGUCCCAUGAAGAUAUCGCGUGGUUAAGUAUGUUCACAAGCAAUGAACCAGCAGUUAGUGCAAAAACAUGCUCUAAAAAUGUGGUGGUCCUCACACAGAGAUCAAAGCAUAACGAAUUUGUCCUGUUGUGCAAGGGUAAAAAGCAGCUCUGUCUGAAGGUCUUAAAAGGAUGUUGUUCAGAGCCAGAUUAUCCUUCAAUGAGAAGACGCAACAGGAAAACAUGCAAGCACGAAGAUCCUGACUUCAAACAGCUGAGCGAAGAUAAUCACUUUUUCAUCAUGCAUUGUGAAGGAGAGUCAGUGAAAUUCCAGUGCUAUGAAGACACAAAUUACUUUCUGCAUGUGAAUGAUGACUCACUUGAUAUACGCAAGCCAGAUCACAAAGACCCCAAUGGAGAGAAAAAUUUUUUCUUCAGGGUGUCAUACUUAUAG